AGGGGCAGCAUGGUCUUAGCUUGCUAAGGCCGAUGGCGACCGGCGCACGGGUGAGUAACACGUAUCCAACCUGCCGUCUACUCUUGGACAGCCUUCUGAAAGGAAGAUUAAUACAAGAUGGCAUCAUGAGUCCGCAUGUUCACAUGAUUAAAGGUAUUCCGGUAGACGAUGGGGAUGCGUUCCAUUAGAUAGUAGGCGGGGUAACGGCCCACCUAGUCUUCGAUGGAUAGGGGUUCUGAGAGGAAGGUCCCCCACAUUGGAACUGAGACACGGUCCAAACUCCUACGGGAGGCAGCAGUGAGGAAUAUUGGUCAAUGGGCGCAGGCCUGAACCAGCCAAGUAGCGUGAAGGAUGACUGCCCUAUGGGUUGUAAACUUCUUUUAUAAAGGAAUAAAGUCGGGUAUGGAUACCCGUUUGCAUGUACUUUAUGAAUAAGGAUCGGCUAACUCCGUGCCAGCAGCCGCGGUAAUACGGAGGAUCCGAGCGUUAUCCGGAUUUAUUGGGUUUAAAGGGAGCGUAGAUGGACGUUUAAGUCAGUUGUGAAAGUUUGCGGCUCAACCGUAAAAUUGCAGUUGAUACUGGAUAUCUUGAGUGCAGUUGAGGCAGGCGGAAUUCGUGGUGUAGCGGUGAAAUGCUUAGAUAUCACGAAGAACUCCGAUUGCGAAGGCAGCCUGCUAAGCUGCAACUGACAUUGAGGCUCGAAAGUGUGGGUAUCAAACAG
rnacentral:rRNA from 1 species